rnacentral:rRNA from 1 species
AGAGUUUGAUCCUGGCUCAGAUUGAACGCUGGCGGCAUGCCUUACACAUGCAAGUCGAACGGCAGCACGGGUGCUUGCACCUGGUGGCGAGUGGCGAACGGGUGAGUAAUAUAUCGGAACGUACCUUAUCGUGGGGGAUAACGCAGCGAAAGCUGCGCUAAUACCGCAUACGCCCUGAGGGGGAAAGCGGGGGACCGUAAGGCCUCGCGCGAUUAGAGCGGCCGAUAUCUGAUUAGCUUGUUGGUGGGGUAAAAGCCCACCAAGGCGACGAUCAGUAGCUGGUCUGAGAGGACGAUCAGCCACACUGGGACUGAGACACGGCCCAGACUCCUACGGGAGGCAGCAGUGGGGAAUUUUGGACAAUGGGGGCAACCCUGAUCCAGCAAUGCCGCGUGAGUGAAGAAGGCCUUCGGGUUGUAAAGCUCUUUUGUCAGGGAAGAAACAGCAGCUCUAACACAGUCUGCGAAUGACGGUACCUGAAGAAUAAGCACCGGCUAACUACGUGCCAGCAGCCGCGGUAAUACGUAGGGUGCAAGCGUUAAUCGGAAUUACUGGGCGUAAAGCGUG